UACGUAGGGUGCAAGCGUUAAUCGGAAUUACUGGGCGUAAAGGGCGCGUAGGCGGCCUUGUAAGUCUCGUGUGAAAGCCCUCGGCUUAACUGAGGAUCUGCACGGGAUACUGCGAGGCUUGAGUUCGGGAGAGGAAAGCGGAAUUCCGGGUGUAGCGGUGAAAUGCGUAGAGAUGCGGAGGAACACCGAUGGCGAAGGCAGCCCCCUGGGCUAAUACUGACGCUGAGGCACGAAAGCGUGGGGAGCAAACAGG
rnacentral:rRNA from 1 species